GACGUAGGGUGCGAGCGUUGUCCGGAUUUAUUGGGCGUAAAGAGCUCGUAGGCGGCUUGUCGCGUCGACCGUGAAAACUUGGGGCUCAACCCCAAGCCUGCGGUCGAUACGGGCAGGCUAGAGUUCGGUAGGGGAGACUGGAAUUCCUGGUGUAGCGGUGAAAUGCGCAGAUAUCAGGAGGAACACCGGUGGCGAAGGCGGGUCUCUGGGCCGUAACUGACGCUGAGGAGCGAAAGCAUGGGGAGCGAACAGG
rnacentral:rRNA from 1 species